rnacentral:lncRNA from 10 species
GACUUAUCUAAGAUUUUGACUAUAUUAUAGCAAUGAAUAACUCGGUGAAAAUAAUCAAGAACAACCAAUUUUCCAGAAAGACAUUAGCCAAGAGUGUGACUUCUUUUCUCAGAUAUACUUUCUGGAGGAUCAGAAAGGGCAAGAACCUGACAUUUGUAUCAUGCUAUAAUUGCAUACAUUCGUUCACCCAUUUACCAAGCACAUUUAAAGCACGACCUCUGUGCAAGACCCUGUGCUACGGGCAUUGUGGACACAAAGAAUCCUUUUUAUAUGGAGCA